rnacentral:lncRNA from 1 species
GUUAAACUCCGCCAUUUUGCCUCUCAGUGUUCAAGCUUGAGCCCACGCAUCCAACUCCUGAGAUCUUACUGGGAAGCUGCUGAUCAUCAGUUUCAGGAAGUCAGCAUGGAUCAGCCUUACGUUCAUGGCCUCCAGGCCCUAUUCUCCUGCCUCACAGGGACCGGCCAGGAUCUCUAUCCUUACAGCACGUUGGAAUGUAUAUGCUCCUCUCCCCACAUCGCCUUAGGGAGCAGGCAGGUGUCAGGGGCAGCACAAGGACGGCCAACAGGACAGAAGACGGGUUGAAGAUCCGAGAGGCUGAGUCACUUCCACAAAGUAACACAGCUGAUUUUAAAUGCCUGCAUUCAGCAUCCCUGCAGCAGGCUCCAGGUGGAAUUCUAAUGGGACCAGCCUCCAGUCCCUGGACCUUAGCCGUGGAAGGAGAGAAGAGGACAUCUGCACCUCCUCUCAGAGAAAGCCUGAUGCCUACUAAAGGACUUGGGUGGUGGACGCAGUGACCCUCAGUCUGGAGCUUGUUCACUGAACAUUGGAGACUAUCAUUUGCGCAGAUGGUCUUGGGCCUCUAUGAGCAGCAGGCUGCACCCCACAGUGACCUCCUCAUUCUACUCUGAGGCAUCUUCAUGAAAGCAGAUGUCCAUUGAAAAGCACCCAAGUGCAGUCUCAGCUGAUGAACUUCAGAGGCGAUUGAGACAAAGGCUCUCGGUCCCCUCUGCCCUUGGAUGGUGCCUCUGGUAUGCACUUGGCCUCUGUGUCUUUAUUUAGACUGGUCACUUCACAACCCAUCAUGUCACCCCACCCCUAACCGUGCCCACUCUGGGUCCUCCCCUCAACUGCCUGACUUCCCACUUUGAGCUCAGCAAAGGCAAUAGAUGUUUUGUCUGCUUCGAUACCCUAAAUGCAUGGCGUGGAAGCUGGCACACAGUGGGCCCUUGAAAUUUGGGAGUGAAUAUGUAUAUAUAUUAUAUUCCAACCUCAACUUUCCUCACUGCUCCUCAUAGUAGGAAUGGAUUGUAAAACUUCCCAGAAUGUUCAAGAGGAGAAAGGAGAGAAAACAGCCUGGAAUUUGAGCUAAGGGGCCCACAGCCCAGCCACCAAGCCAUCUGUAAAAUGGGGUGGGAAUAUGACAUGAGCCACAGGGGUGCUAUGAGGGUUAAUGAGGUCACCGUGCGAUGUACCAUGCCAA